rnacentral:rRNA from 1 species
UACAUAGGGGGCGAGCGUUGUCCGGAAUCAUUGGGCGUAAAGCGCAUGUAGGCGGCCAUGUAAGUCGAAUGUGAAAUCCCGAAGCUCAACUUCGGAACUGCAUCCGAUACUGCAUGGCUUGAGGAAGGUAGAGGAGAGUGGAAUUCCCGGUGUAGCGGUGGAAUGCGCAGAUAUCGGGAGGAACACCAGCGGCGAAGGCGGCUCUCUGGGCCUUUCCUGACGCUGAGAUGCGAAAGUGUGGGUAGCGAACAGG